AAAAGAACUUUGAAGAGAGAGUUCAACAGUACGUGAAACCGCCUAGAGGUAAACGGGUGGAUCCGCAAAGUCGGUCCGCGAAAUUCAGCUCGGAAGGCUGGUCGCAGGUGGUNAGGUCGAGAUCUCUUGCGGACUCUCCUGCUNCUUGUACGCUGGCUUGACGUGUGCACUUUUCGCGGGCAGAGCGCCACGACCGGUUUCUGGGCAGUCAGAAGGCGGCGAGGAAGGUAGGUGGGCGCUUCGGCGUUUACUGUUAUAGCCUCGCUUGUCCCGAUCUGCUCGGAGACCGAGGAGCCGCCGCUUGGGCAAUGGGCUAUCCUGCUCUCCUUGGGGGUUCGACAGGCAGAGACUGGGANACCGUGUCUGCCGACCGCCUCUUCGGACGGACGGGGGUGCUUUGAGUCCGCCCAAGCAUAGGGUCGGUGGCGAAUCGGUCGGCACUCCACCCGACCCGUCUUGAAA
rnacentral:rRNA from 1 species